GAGACACCAUUGGGAAGGAAAGACAGAAGUCAAGCAGGAGAGAAUAAGGACAACCUGGGGCCUGCAAGGAUGAGUGAGAGCCCACAAGAAAACCAGAAGCUUCUCUUACUGCUUCUGAGCCUCCAACUUCAACAAUAGAGUUCCUACAGGAGAAAGUGGUACCGACUGUCAUGCACUUAUGUGAAAACCUGGCCCAUGAAUUGGAGAGAUGAAAGGAAGGAUCUAGUAGAGGGUGGAAGCUCUGUGGGCUUGGCUGAUGCCCCACACCAACCAGGUGAACCAGAAGACAUGACAUGCAUGAGCUACAGCAGUGCCUGGUGACCUACAUAGACCUGCAAAGCAUAAAAAGAAUAAGACCACUGCUUCCACCCUCUGAAUCUCCUGCAAGACCCCACAGUCAAACCCAGAAUUAUACAAUGAAGGGAACUCUGAAACAUAGUCCAAGUUUAGCUAAAGUAACAGAGGACAAGUUCACCAUACGCUGCCAUGAAAUGGAUGGCUUGUGGCUUCACUCAAAGUCAAACCUCAAACAAAUCCAUCUGAUAAGUGAGCUCUAAAUUAUAUAUGGACCACUACAUGCAAGGGGGUUUGGGUAACCCAAUUCUUUAAAUUUUGCAAAGAGGUACACUAGGAGAUUGGAAAAGAUGAGCUGUUACUAUAACCAAGAUUUAUUGAAUGCUUACUAUGCACUGCAUGCUGUGCUUAGUAUUUCAUGCAUAUUUUCUCAAUUAAUCCUCAAUAAUCUCAUGAAAUGAGAAGUAUCAUUAUUAUUUAUUAUCAUUAUUUUUCUGUUGCCUGUGUAGGCUCAUAGAAGAUAAAAUCACCAAAAAAGCAUUCUUUAUUCCAGACAUCUGCUUUCAGAGCUCAAACUCAGAACUCAAACUCUAAACCACAUUCUAUCAUCAUUAAGUACUUCUCUUGAUCAUUGCUACACUGCCAGGAACUAGUACAGUUCUUGAUACAUAGACCAUGCUCAAUAUUGUAAUUAUUGAACUCACCUCCACACAAUCACCAAAGACUUUAUUUCUUUAGUUUAGCCCUAUCCUAUUUCUCUUUUUAUUUCCUAGUAGUAACCUAAUAUAGGCCCAUGGCAUACAAUAUGUAUUUGUUAUCAAAUAGUGUUCACAGACCCAGUCAAAUCUAGUAAAGCCUGAAGAGUUGUCAGCAUUGUACACAUAAAGAUCUUGAGAAUCAGAAUCUUGUCCUUGAUGUUAUACCCUAAGAUUCUUGGAACUCAGAAUACCACAGAAAGUUUUGGGAAAUUCAGCAUAAUUAAAAAACUUCCAUAGUCAGAAAUCCACUCUCUUCCUUUAUCUCAAACCACAGACUAGAUACAUUUUCAUACCCAGAAUUGGUCAGGGAGGAAGAUUUGAAGAGAAUGCAGAGGAAAUGUAGUGUGGCUUAGAAGAAAACUAUUCUCUGUCCUCCCUUAGUUGAGUUCUUUGCAUUGACAGGGGAAUUCACAAAACCUCAGAUUGGUUGGGGAAUUGAAAAGCAGAUUACUUUCUUUGUGGAGAGGGAAUAUCCUGCAGAAGCAGAAAGACCUGAAGAAUGUCUGUUACCAACCUAGUAAUGUUACUGUGAAAAAAAAAAUAUUUGUAUGGGUGUGCAAAAGUGAGUGGCAGAAUUUUUUGAAUCCUAAUGAGGUAUAGGAAGAGCCAAGUUUUACUUUUAUAUUCAAAAAGAACAUCUAAGUAAUGGAGAAAGAUAGAGACAUAAAAGGCACGAGAGUUAGGAUGGCAAGAUGGCGCCGUGUGUGUGGAUCCAUGACCAGGGAUCAGAUGGACACAAAGUUGCCCAGAAGAUGCUCACAUGUCCAGACUAGAAUUAACUCUACCUCACUUGACCUCUUGCUUGCAAAAUAUCACCCACAGUUAGACUUAAAUUUAGAAAUUAGGUGGAAAGAGAUAGCAACUGAUGAAGAUUUUGUUUUCAACUCCUAGUGACACCUAAAUUCCUGGCCACAUAAAAAUUCUGUUCUCAGAAAAAUUAAGUGAAAAUUUUUUUCACAUGUGAGUGAAAUUUUGGAUCAAAAUUCAAGUUCACUAUAAAAAGUGGACCAAAGAGGUCUACCAAUACUUAAAUAUUCAAAUAAAA
rnacentral:lncRNA from 1 species